rnacentral:pre_miRNA from 1 species
UCUUAUGGAUGAACAAAGAAAGUAGUUUCUUGAGAUGGCGUCUACUUCUGGGGAAGAUGCUGUGAA